rnacentral:rRNA from 1 species
AGAGUUUGAUCAUGGCUCAGAGCGAACGCUGGCGGCGUGCUUAACACAUGCAAGUCGAGUGCGUAGUCUGCUGUAGCAAUACAGUAGGCCGGCGCACGGCGCACGGGUGCGUAACACGUGGGUAACCUGCCCUCCAAAGGGGGAUAACCCGCCGAAAGGCGGGCUAAUACCGCAUGACAUUCCCGGUGACUUCGGUCGCC